GUGAGGAAUAUUGCGCAAGGGGGCAACCCUGACGCAGCAACGCCGCGUGUGGGAAGAAGGCUUUCGGGUUGUAAACCACUUUUGCCCGGGACGAAAGGGGGGACCUGAAUAAGGUUGCCCGAUGACGGUACCGGGAGAAUAAGCCACGGCUAACUCUGUGCCAGCAGCCG
rnacentral:rRNA from 1 species